ACCCGCACAAGCGGUGGAUGAUGUGGAUUAAUUCGAUGCAACGCGAAAACCUUACUACCCUUGACAUGUCCGGAAUCCUGGAGAGAUCUGGGAGUGCUCGCAAGAGAACCGGAACACAGGUGCUGCAUGGCUGUCGUCAGCUCGUGUCGUGAGAUGUUGGGUUAAGUCCCGCAACGAGCGCAACCCUUGUCAUUAGUUGCCACCAUUCAGUUGGGCACUCUAAUGAGACUGCCGGUGACAAACCGGAGGAAGGUGGGGAUGACGUCAAGUCCUCAUGGCCCUUAUGGGUAGGGCUUCACACGUCAUACAAUGGUCGGUACAGAGGGUCGCCAACCCGCGAGGGGGAGCCAAUCCCACAAAGCCGAUCGUAGUCCGGAUUGGAGUCUGCAACUCGACUCCAUGAAGUCGGAAUCGCUAGUAAUCGUGGAUCAGCAUGUCACGGUGAAUACGUUCCCGGGUCUU
rnacentral:rRNA from 1 species